rnacentral:rRNA from 1 species
GAUGAACGCUGGCGGCGUGCUUAACACAUGCAAGUCGAACGGUGAAGCAGGAGCUUGCUCUUGUGGAUCAGUGGCGAACGGGUGAGUAACACGUGAGCAACCUGCCCCUGACUCUGGGAUAAGCGCUGGAAACGGCGUCUAAUACUGGAUAUGUGAUGCGACCGCAUGGUCUGCAUCUGGAAAGAAUUUCGGUUGGGGAUGGGCUCGCGGCCUAUCAGCCUGUUGGUGAGGUAAUGGCUCACCAAGGCGUCGACGGGUAGCCGGCCUGAGAGGGGGACCGGCCACACUGGGACUGAGACACGGCCCAGACUCCUACGGGAGGCAGCAGUGGGGAAUAUUGCACAAUGGGCGGAAGCCGGAUGCAGCAACGCCGCGUGAGGGAUGACGGCCUUCGGGUUGUAAACCUCUUUUAGCAGGGAAGAAGCGAAAGUGACGGUACCUGCAGAAAAAGCACCGGCUAACUACGUGCCAGCAGCCGCCGCAG